CUUCCCUCUCUGAUUAGAGAUUACCUAUCUAAUUUAAGUUUGCCUCUCAUAGUAAGACUUUUUUUGCUAACAGCCAUUAAAGUAACCCAACACACAGGAACAUCCUGAAUUUUUCCUUUCAUUUCCCAUGCCACUCUAACCUUAGUCAACCUGUGGUCUGCAUUAUAAGACAGAUCAGGCCAAUGGUUGCUUAAAUAUUUUGCUAUACCGAAGGUUUUCCUGCCUGACAGUUGAGUCCGCAACCUCCACUCUGACCUAACAAAAAGUGUGUUUCUUGCAGUAUUCCACUUCCAGGACCCAAAUUCUCUAUCAGUUAGAUAUGCUUUCAGCUAUAAACCAUUAAAACUCAAUGAACUACAGAUGAAACAAAUAAAAAUAUUUUUCUCUAACAGAAAUCUAGGUGUGAGUAGUAGCAUUGGUUCCAAGGCAUCAAGGCCCUAAGUCAGCAUCUCUGUGAUUCUCGUGGCCUCCUGCUCAUAGUCACGAGAUGGUUGCAGCACAUCAUCACAUCACCUUGGAAGGCAGGAAGCAGGUGGUAGUGUGAUGCAGAGCUUUUCUUCUCAGCCUCUGUCUCUUAUAUCAAGAAGUAAAAUUUUUCCCAAAGCCCCUCAACAGCCUUUUACUUAAAUCUCAUUGGCCAGAAUUGGAUAAGAAGCCUGCUCACCUUAGACUUGGGCAUACCUUCCAUGGAAUCAAAGGAUCUGCACUGGGGGAAAAAAGUUAGGGUCCCUUAAGCAAGGAAUACUUAGCCAACGGUGUCUGCCGUAGACUGCCCCCAACAAAACUGACAAGAGCCCAAAUGGAAGUUUUAAAACUUAAGCUAAGGCUGGGCGUGGUGGCUCACUCCUGUCAUCGCAGCACUUUGGAAGGCCGAGGCGGGAGGAUCACUUGAGCCCAGGAGUUCAAGACCAGCCUGGGCAACAUGGCAAAACACCAUCCCUCUCUCUCUGUCUCUCUCUCUCUCUCCACACACACACACACACUACAAAAACUUAGCCAGGUGUGGUGGCUCAUGCCUGUGAUCCCAGCUACUCGAGAGGCUGAGAGGUGGGACGAUCACCUGAGCCCAGGAAAUUGAGGCUGCAGUGAGCUGUGAUCGCAUCACUGCACUCCAGCCCGGGUGACAGAGCAAGAACUUGCCUCAAAACAAAAAAAAAUUAAACUAAAAACAAAUAAAACCUCCUCAUAAACCUUUUCUCAUGACACUGCAAAUUGCACAGUACAACUAUGGGCUGCACUGAAACUCUGGAAAUGAGCUAUACUCAUUUUCCUUCUUUCUUUCUUUCUUUCUCUCUUUUCUUUCUUUUCUCUCUCUUUUCUCUCUUUUUCUCUUUCUUUUCUUUCUUUCUUUCUUUCUCUCUUUCUUUCUCUCUCUCUCUCUCUGUCUGUCUGACUUUUUGUCUGACUGUCUUUUUUUGACACAGGGUCUCGCUCUAUUGCCCAGGCUAGAGUGCAGUGGCACGAUCUCGGCUCACUGCAGCCUCGACCUCUUGGGCUCAAGUGAUCCUCCCACCUCAGCCUCCCCAGUAGCUGAGACUGAGACUACAGGCCACCAUGCCUGGCUAGUAUCUUUUUUUUUUUUUUUUUUUUUUUUGUAGAGACAAGGUUUUGCCAUGUUGCCCAAGCUGGUCUUGAACAUCUGGCCCCAGGUAAUCUGCCCAUCUUGGCCUCCCAAAGUUCCAGGAUUGCAACCAGGCAUUAAAAAGAUGACACAGAAAAAUUACAGAGUCAGCAUAUAUUUGAAUACUGGAUAAAAGGGAAGAGGAUGAAAUGGAUUUUUCAAAGCUUCUAAAGAAAACAGAACUAGCUGUGUAGCAGACUCCUCUUAUAAACCUCUGCGAAGUUCUACUUGAAAAGCUGUGGUUUCAUUUCAAAGGAAACCAGCAAUCAGGGGGAUCUCUACAGGAAAAUCUCUUCCCUAUGUCUUCUUUAGACUCUUCAAAAAGGAGAGAGAGCACAAAAAAAGAAAAUACACAAGUAAAUAGGUUCAAGUACAUCAAGAAUCACAGUUUCUAAAAAGGCUAGUGAAAGGUCAAUGACUUCAGAGUCAAGAAAUCCAUUUCUAAUGUUUCUUCAGCUGUGACUCAUUGUGAAAUGUUGAGGAGGGUCACAGAAGCCUCCAGCCCUCGGUUUCCCCAGCUGUAAAACAAAUAUUUGAAUAAGUGGCCAGUCCACAUUAUAGCUGAUGUGCUUUCAGGGACUCAAAAUGAGAAUCAUAAAUAUGUAAAAAUACAAAGAUAAGGUGUUCCCUGUAGAAAAACACUAAACUAGCAGAAAAAGAAACAUCACAUUUGUGUGCUAAUUGGGUAUUCCAGAUUAAAGUAAUUUGUUAAAAAUUAUUGGAAGAAAAAUCCAUAAUUUGGCAAUAAAAAGGAUUUCCGUAAGAAGAGACAGACAAGAUCAUAACAGAUUCAGUGACUCUAGGUUACUCAGCCAAAUUAAAAUGCUCUCCUUUCAUCCUCGAAGGGAAAUCCUUGAGAAGUUUGUGGACCGUCACCAUCUGUUCAGCAAAACAUGCAUCAACAUAAUAUUUUCCACAUGUUUUUUGUUUUCUUUUUAAUUUUGCAAACGGAGAUUAAUCUUUUCCUAGUCAGAAUGUUUUACUAUAACCAUUGUCAGAGGAAAUAAGUGGAAACUCGGUUUUGAUCCCACUUCUCUCCCUACCCACUCGCCACCAUUUGCGUUUUCUAUGGUGAUGUGUGGAUUAAAGCUGAGGAGAAACUAAUAAUUCACAUCCUUUGCAGAUCAUGACAAGUCUGUAUUUCAUAAAACUGGAGAAAUCCUGCUCUGAAGCUCAUUUUUCAUGCAGCUACAAAAUCAUCUCUUUCUUCUCAUCAGAACUCCAUAGUGACAUCCAUCAAUAGCUGGAUCAAGGCCAAGAGUGCCAUAACCACCUACGGAUUCACUCUUCGCUGUGCCAUGCCAGUCAACUAUGCCCUUCCCUACUAUCCUUCUUCCACCACCAUUCCUCUGACUGUCAGGCUCAGCAAACAGCUUGCAGUUGGUCAAUGAGUGCUUACCAAGCCCCGGCUCUGUGCCCAGCAUCAUGCAAAGCAUAAAUGGACAUGGACAACAGUCUUAAACUACUUCCUACCCACAAGCAGCUCACAAACUUGUUGGGAAGAAAGUAGAACAAGGAGAGGAAAAGACAGUAAAAGCACCCACUGUGACAUGGUAAAAAUGAUGUUGACAACAAUAAUGAUGGUGCUGGGAUCUAACUCCUCUAUUUUGCCUGUAACUUGUCUUCCGAGUUUCUACACAUUGGUUGGCCAGAGGAAAAUUAACUUUGAAUUCCAUCUAGUCAAAAGUUUAGUAUGGUCCAAUAAUUAUAGUAGUCCCUUUAAGAAAUGCUCAGCUGUACAAUACUCAUUUUCCAAAAAGCUUAAAUCUUAGAAAACAGUUCCCUUGUCCAUUUAGGUGGGUUUGUGUAAUGCUGAUCAAAGUCUGGUCCAUCUAGGACCUCUGAUAAUAUUACUGUCACUCCCAAAGCUAGGUUUAUUUCCACCUGGUUGCAAUACUCAUAAAGAAAGAAAACCACUAAGUGAUGUGUUAAUAACAGGUAUGUAUAGAAAGCACCACUGUUAUUUUAAACAAGUAAAAUGAAACCCAAAAAGUUUGGCAAUACAAGAAGUGCUAUGGGCUAAACUGUGUCCUCACAAAAAUUCAUAUAUUGAAGCCCUAAUGUCCAGUACCUCAGAAUGUGACCGUAUUCGGAGAUAGGGCUUUAAAGAGGCGAUGAAGUUAAAACAAAGUCAUUGAGGUGAGGCUCUAAUUCAACGACUGAUAUCCUUAUAAGAAGAGGAAAUCUGGACAUAGAUGGGCCCAGAGGAAAGAUCACAUUAAGACAGAAAAAGAAGAUGGCCGCCUACAAGCCUAAGAGAGAAGCCUCGGGAGAAACCAACCCUGAUGACAACUUGAUCUCAGAUGGCUGGCCUUUAAAAUUGUGAGAAACUAAGUUUUUGUUGUUUAAGGCACCCAGUCUGUGGUACUUUGUUAUGGCAACCCUAACAAGCUAAUACAAUAACCAAUCUCUAAAAAACAUCUCUCUGUGAAUGAUACAAGAAUCCAGGGUUCUGUUUUUCUCACUGACAUUUUUGCUGUUUUAAUACUAAAAUGGUGUCUGGCAUAAAAAAUGUUUGAUAAUGUUUGUUGAAUUAAUAAGUAGAUAUUAUCUUUGCUGUUAAUUCAUGAUACAAUUUUAAUACAUUUUACCAACCUAAAUAGAAAAUCAAACUGAAAAAGUAACUUCCUCAUUAAACAAACACAAAAAAAUUCUAAAUUUACAUGCUAGGUAAUUUCUAACAAUAAUUUUUUAAAAGGAUUUUAUCUUAAUUUUCAUUUAUGUUUCUAUAGCCAGAGUCUUCCCAAGAUUCAAUACUUUGUUUGGUUUCCUAUCAUCUCAAUGAUCUCUUCCAAAUCCUGCUGAAGUUGUUAGAAGUAAAAUUAUCUCCAUCUUAUAAAUGGGAAAAGUAAACUGGCAAGUCAAAGAAUUUUCUAGAGAAUAGGCCCACAGAGAAGGCUGUUAAACCAGGAUGGAGAGAUUUAAACACAUACACCUAGGGGAGGCAGAGAAGAGACGGGAACAUGAGGUGGCCUGAAAAUGAGCACAGUAUUUGAAGGUCUCCCAACAUGAGUUUGAUCACAUUUAAAGCCCACCAAUUUAGAGCUUUUUCAAACUCCAUUCAAAGGGGGUUUUCCUGACGUAUCUGCAAAACCUAAUAAGAAGGCCCUGUCCUCUGUGUAAGCAGCUUUUCAUACAUGCAUAUAUUCAUUUAUUGAUUCAUUCAGUAACUACUUAUUGAGCAUCUACUAUGUGAAAGGCAUUCCUAUCAGCCCUGGAGAUGCAAUCGUGAGUAAAACAGACAGAAAUGUCCCUGCCCUCACGGAGUUUACAUCCUGGUAGUGGGGACAGAAAAUUUAAAAAAAAUAAAUAAGUAAAAUAUGUGUCAGUAUUAAGUACCAUGGAGAAAAAAUUAAACAGCGAUGAAAAAUAUAAAACGUAAGGAUGGUUGAAAUAUUCGGUCAGCCAGGAAAGGUGUCAUGAAGUUGAGUUAGGAAACUGACUACAUGAGAAACAUUUAAACACCUUCUUACCUUGUCAGACGGUAUUCUGAGUUCCAGAUUCAAGCAGCCUGGUUUCCAUACACAGUACCACUUUUUAUUUAUUGUGAGAAAAUUGCCUAAUUUUGUGUCUCAGUUUCUUUAUCUGUAAAAUGGGGAUAAUUUUUUUAACUAGUAGAGUUGUGAAGAGUCAAUUUAAAAACAAAACACAUUUAGUGCUUAAAACAGUGCCUGAUGUAUAAGAACUCAAUAAAUAUUAGGUUUUGUAGUUGCUUUUGUGUUUUUUUUACUUUCUAUGAUCUAAUUUCAAGAUUGUUAAAAUGGGACUCAUAAUGCCAGGCUUCACUGAAUUUUUGUAGGAAUCUCACGAGACAAGACAUAAAGAGCCCUUGGAGUUUGGAUCAUAGUAAGCACUAAAUGUAUGCUUCCUGCUCCUGUUACCAUUGUAACCAGGCAACAUUUUUGUUUUCUUAACUAUUGCAACAGUAUUUGACUUGGAACAAUAGCCAUCGGGAAUAGAAGGUUAGAUCCUGAGGACAUGGACGUACAUCCACAAUAAUCUUAGCAUAAAAGAAAAGAGAGAUAGUUAAGCUUCUCUGCACUUGAAAACAAGAGGAUGGGAGUAUUGGGAGAAACAGAAAGCAGAAGAGAAAAAGGGGAAGGAGAGAGGCACCGAGGAGCUGUUGUGAAGCUGGGGAUUUUAUAGGAUGAGGGAAGGGUAUCUAUUCGCUAAGGAUGGGAUAGUGGAGAAACAUUUUACAAAUAAAGAUGAGUCAAGUUAAAUUUGAAAUUAUUUUUGUUUCAACAUGAACUGCACUUCUGUCUCCUCAUGCCACCAAAAGUUUUAAUAAAU
rnacentral:lncRNA from 1 species